GGUGAAAAGUCAGUUAGUUAUCAAGUCCACAGCAACAGAAAAACGAUUUGUUGAUGUUCUAGCCCUACACACCUUGUUCAGUCGUCAAAAGCGUGAGAGCUAGCUGACCAAACGGAGUCAAAUCAAUCGCCUUACUAUGAUAAAGCACGCUAUUUUUGUCUAUAUUUUUGUUUCUCUGAUGCUUGGUUCUUUCGCCCAUCCCAUUUUAAGAACAAGAUUGUCGCAAGACGUGUCAGGCACAAGGCAAUUACUGGAAGAACCUGGGAUGACGAAGUGUCCUCAUCCAAGCGACAUCCAUUUUUGCACAUUCGAGUUUCUUUAUAAUGAAGCAUGUUACGAAGGAACUGAAGAGUUUAAAAUAAGAUGCCAAAACUUCUGUAAUGGAUUGUGCAGAAUUUAUGGAACUCUUUCAUAACUAGCGAGCCGAGUUAUUGUUCUUUUAAAACCAAGUAAAGCAGUCUUAUUAAUCCCGUUAACAAAUAAUGAACAUAAUGAUUUUCUCUCGAACGUGAUGCCAUCAGCAUGCACAUUUUAGAAUGAUAACCCUUGCCGUCAUCGUGAAACAGAUCUUUUUGAUGAAUGCAUUUAAUGGAAUAAAAUGUGGCUUCUUACAACAACCACUUUUUCUAUCUUCAAAUGA